UCAGAUAUAGCUGGUUCUCCCCGAAAUAGCUUUAGGGCUAGCGUCAAUGUAAGGCCACUGGAGGUAGAGCACUGAAUGUAUGAUGGCCCCAUCUCGGGGUACUGAAUAUAAUCAAACUCCGAAUGCCAGUGGAUAGUAGUUGGCAGUCAGACUAUGGGUGAUAAGGUCCGUAGUCGAAAGGGAAACAGCCCAGACCAUCAGUUAAGGUCCCAAAAUUCAUGCUAAGUGGAAAAGGAUGUGGGGAUGCACAGACAACUAGGAGGUUGGCUCAGAAGCAGCCAUCCUUUAAAGAGUGCGUAACAGCUCACUAGUCGAGUGACCCUGCGCCGAAAAUGUACCGGGGCUAAGUAUGAUACCGAAACUAUGGAUUUAUUGUUUCAAUAAAUGGUAGGGGAGCGUUCUAUACAGCGUUGAAGCUGUACCGUAAGGAGCAGUGGAGUGUAUAGAAGUGAGAAUGCCGGUGUGAGUAGCGAGAUGUCAGUGAGAAUCUGACACACCGAUUGCCUAAGGUUUCCAGGGGAAGGCUCGUCCUCCCUGGGUAAGUCGGGACCUAAGAUGAGGCUGAAAAGCGUAGUCGAUGGACAACAGGUUGAUAUUCCUGUACCCGAUACAUAAGUGAAGGAAUGACAGAGAAGGCUAGGUUAUGCCAGCGACUGGAAGUGCUGGUUUAAGCGAAGGAGCUGUAUGGUAGGCAAAUCCGCCAUGCAAAGCAAAGGCGUUACGAGGAGUGAACCCGUGAGGAAGUAGCGAAGUAACUGAUGCCAGCUCUCAAGAAAAGUUUCUAGCGUUAAUUAUGUAUUGGCCCGUACCAAAACCGACACAGGUAGGCAAGGAGAGAAUCCUAAGGUGAGCGAGAGAACUGUUGCCAAGGAACUCGGCAAAAUGACCCCGUAACUUCGGGAGAAGGGGUGCUCGUAAGAGCCGCAGUGAAGAGGCCCAAGCGACUGUUUAACUAAAACACAGCUCUCUGCAAAGUCGCAAGACGAAGUAUAGGGGGUGACACCUGCCCGGUGCUGGAAGGUUAAGGGAAUAUGUUAGAAUUCGUUCGAAGCAUUGAACUGAAGCCCCAGUGAACGGCGGCCGUAACUAUAACGGUCCUAAGGUAGCGAAAUUCCUUGUCGGGUAAGUUCCGACCCGCACGAAAGGUGUAACGAUUUGGGCGCUGUCUCGGCAGCAGACUCGGUGAAAUCUUAGUACCGGUAAAGAUGCCGGUUACCCGCAACUAGACGGAAAGACCCCAUGGAGCUUUACUGUAGCUUGAUAUUGAACUUUGAGCCUACAUGUACAGGAUAGGUGGGAGACUAUGAAGCAUGUACGCUAGUAUAUGUGGAGUCGCCAUUGGGAUACCACUCUUGUAUGUUUGAAGUUCUAACCGCGUACCGUGAUCCGGUACCGGGAGAGUGUCAGGUGGGCAGUUUGACUGGGGCGGUCGCCUCCUAAAGAGUAACGGAGGCGCCCAAAGGUACCCUCAGAUUGGUUGGAAAUCAAUCGACGAGCGUAAAGGCAGAAGGGUGCUUGACUGCGAGACCUACAAGUCGAGCAGGGACGAAAGUCGGGCUUAGUGAUCCGGCGGUUCCGAGUGGAAGGGCCGUCGCUUAACGGAUAAAAGCUACCCUGGGGAUAACAGGCUAAUCUCGCCCAAGAGUUCACAUCGACGGCGAGGUUUGGCACCUCGAUGUCGGCUCAUCGCAUCCUGGAGCUGAAUUAGGUUCCAAGGGUUGGGCUGUCCGCCCAUUAAAGCGGUACGCGAGCUGGGUUCAGAACGUCGUGAGACAGUUCGGUCCCUAUCUGUUGUGGGCGUAGGAAAUUUGAGGAGCGCUGUCCCUAGUACGAGAGGACCGGGAUGGACAUACCGCUGGUGUACCAGUUGUUCUGCCAAGGGCAUCGCUGGGUAGCUAAGUAUGGACUGGAUAAGCGCUGAAAGCAUCUAAGCACGAAGCCAACUCCAAGAUGAGAUUUCCCAUACGUAAGUAGUAAGACCCCUGAGAGACGAUCAGGUUGAUAGGUCAGAGGUGGAAGCAUAGUGAUAUGUGGAGCUGACUGAUACUAAUAGGUCGAGGUUUUAAUCAC
rnacentral:rRNA from 1 species